CACAUGAUCUCUCUCCACGUUCUUUCAUUUUCAAGAAAACCGCUGUCACCCCGAUUGAGAAAUCCACACUUUCUCUCUCACGAUUGAAAUUAAAGAGUGAAUUUUUCAUCAUCAAUUGAGGAGAGGGAGUGAAGUCAUACUGCAAAAAUGAGCGAACCCACGAAGAGGAACGGCACUGGAGCGACGGCUGCAGUUUUGCAUCGCGAUCCGAGCAGCGGCAGCGCUUGCCGUGAACAGCCGAGGCUGGAGAAGUCGAGCAACGGCAGCUCGGGAGAUGUACCGCAGCAGUAGCAGCGGCUGCUCAUGACGAACAGCAGCAGGGGCUGACCGCGACGAUGAAGGAAUCACUGCUGGAACGCGAUGGAGUCUCGCGGUGGCAUGAUUUCGGAUGGAGCAAGGCAGCGAUAGAACGGGAUCCACUCCGGGCUGAACCGAUGUGGAGCUGCGACGGAGGAAGGGUGAAUCAGCGAGCAGCAGCAGCAGCUCCUGCUGCGUCGCGGCAUUGGCAGCGGUGGUGUUGUAUUUUGCCGGCGGAAAUCAGCGAAGGAGGAGAGAGACGGGAUGGCGAAAGCACCGCGCGGCUGCUCGACGAGUCUCGAACAGCAGCGGCGGCAGGUCGUACGAGCAGACAGCAGCAACAGCCGCAGUGGAGGUCGCUGGAGUGGGCAAGGCGCCGGCUGGAGCAAUGACGUCGGCGCAGAAUUUGUGAAGAAGAGUCGAGAUUUGAGAGAGAAUGGAGAUGCGUUGAUGAGUAUUUCAUUCUUCUAGAUACGCGACUAAUUUAAUGGAUUUGCUGGAGCAAUUAAUUCUUUUUGACUACCAGGAAGUGGAGUAGGAUUUUGGGAAUGAAUUUGUAUUGAGCUGGAGUAUAUAUUUUAGGAGUUGGGAGUUUAAUUAUACUUUGAAAUUUAGAAGAAAGAUGGAGAUGGAGAACACUGCCAGAAUCUUAAAUGAUUAAGUGAUGUGGGCUGGAAACUGUCCAAAAAGAGAGAAAGAUUGGAGUUACAUGAUGAAGUGAUAUGGGCUGAAUUCAUGAGUUAUACACGAGAAUUUAAGAUUUUGCUAGCUAAGAUUUAAAGGUUGAAUUUUAUGCACGUCUGUUGAGGUCGGAAUAUAAAGUUGAUUUGAGGAGAUAAGCAAACGAGGUUGAGCAGUGACGAGCGCGGUGGGUGUUGAGCAUAAAAGUGAAGAAUGU